UACGUAGGGUGCGAGCGUUAAUCGGAAUUACUGGGCGUAAAGGGCGCGUAGGCGGCCUGUUAAGUCGAACGUGAAAUCCCCGGGCUCAACCCGGGAACUGCGUCCGAUACUGGCAGGCUUGAAUUCGGGAGAGGGAUGCGGAAUUCCAGGUGUAGCGGUGAAAUGCGUAGAUAUCUGGAGGAACACCGGUGGCGAAGGCGGCAUCCUGGACCGAGAUUGACGCUGAUGCGCGAAAGCCAGGGGAGCAAACGGG
rnacentral:rRNA from 1 species